ensembl:lncRNA
CACUGAUCCCACUGGUUGUUUACCUUGGAAGAACCACAUCAAAGAAAAAAAGGGCUCCACAAGAACAGGGAGUCUGUUCAGCUCAUCACUGCAUAACCCAUGCCUGGCAUUUUGGAUGACCUCAAAAAAAGAUCUGUUGACUAUAUCAGAUCCUCCCAGAAGAAGAUGUCCUAACUUCAGUGCAACAAAAACCUGAGCGAUAACAUCAGAUUUUGCCAGAAUGGAGUUACAUCCUGGCUCUCAUACAGAAACCCAGGCCUCCGACAGUGAGCACACUAUUAUGCCACAUUCUUUCAACAACUCCAGAAUGGAGGAAAACAAUGACAUGGGUAAUUUAAAAUAACAGAGGAUUUCAAAAAAAAAAAAAAAUCUUUUGUGUCUGAAGCUUUGAAUUAAUUAUAUGAUUAUUAU